rnacentral:rRNA from 1 species
UACGUAGGUGGCAAGCGUUAUCCGGAUUUACUGGGUGUAAAGGGCGUGUAGGCGGGGAAGCAAGUCAGAUGUGAAGACCACGGGCUCAACCUGUGGCCUGCAUUUGAAACUGUUUUUCUUGAGUGCUGGAGAGGCAAUCGGAAUUCCGUGUGUAGCGGUGAAAUGCGUAGAUAUACGGAGGAACACCAGUGGCGAAGGCGGAUUGCUGGACAGUAACUGACGCUGAGGCGCGAAAGCGUGGGGAGCAAACAGG